UACGGGGGGGGUAAGCGUUGUUCGGAAUUACUGGGCGUAAAGGGCUCGUAGGCGGCCAACUAAGUCAGACGUGAAAUCCCUCGGCUUAACCGGGGAACUGCGUCUGAUACUGGAUGGCUUGGAUUUGGGAGAGGGAUGCGGAACUUCCGGUGGAGCGGUGAAAUGCGUUGAUAUCGGAAGGAACGCCGGUGGCGAAAGCGGCCCGCUGGACCCCGUCUGACGCUGAGGCGCGAAAGCCAGGGGAGCGAACGGG
rnacentral:rRNA from 1 species